UUCAAUAACGGCGAUGGAGUUCGCCCUGAACCCCGUGAAAACGGUAAUGACUCCUACCACGUA
rfam:Propionispora sp. 2/2-37 isolate 2/2-37 genome assembly, contig: 2/2_contig14